rnacentral:rRNA from 1 species
GACGAACGCUGGCGGCGUGCUUAACACAUGCAAGUCGAACGAUGAAGCGGGUGCUUGCACUCGUGGAUUAGUGGCGAACGGGCGAGUAACACGUGAGUAACCUGUCCUUUUCUUUGGGAUAACGGCUGGAAACGGCUGCUAAUACUGGAUAUUCAGGCUGCAUCGCAUGGUGUGGUUUGGAAAGGUUUUUUCUGGGAUUGGGUGGGCUCGCGGCCUAUCAGCUUGUUGGUGGGGUGAUGGCUUACCAAGGCUUUGACGGGUAGCCGGCCUGGGAGGGUGGGCGGUCGCACUGGGACUGAGAUACGGCCCAGACUCCUACGGGAGGCAGCAGUGGGGAAUAUUGCACAAUGGACGAAAGUUUGAUGCAGCGACGCCGCGUGGAGGGUGUAGGCCUUCGGGUUGUGAACUCCUUUUUCUCGCGAAAAAGGCACAGUUUUGGCUGUGUUGAUGGUAGGGGGGGAAGAAGCGCCGGCUAACUACGUGC